rnacentral:lncRNA from 1 species
AGACUUUACUUCAGAACCCCGACUUAUUGGUAAGGACUUCACCUUUUGGCCCUUGAUUGAGUUUUUAUUGUUGGUUUUUGUUCUCUCUUUUUCUUUUUCUUUUCUUUUUCUCUCUCUUUCUCUUUCCUUUUCUCCUUCUCUUUCUCUCUUGGUUUUUUGGUUUUUUGAGACAGGGAUUCUCUGUGUAGUCCUGGCUGUCCUGGAACUUACUUUCUAGACGAGGCUGGCCUCAAACUCUGAAAUUUCCUCUGCCUCUGCUUCCUGAGAUCUGGGAUUAAAGGCAUGCACCACCACACCCUGCCAAACAGAAGGAAGAUUUUUUUUUUUUUCCUGUUUUUUGUUUUGUUUAGUUUUUCUUAAUACAUUCAUUUCUCUUCAUUGAUAUUUGUUGUUUGUUCAAGGACUAAUUCUUCUCUUUCUUGGCUAGUUAUUCGGUCUUUUGAUGUUAACAAACCUGGCUGUGAAGUUGAUGACCUUAAAGGGGGUGUAGCUGGUGGUAGUAUUUUAAAAGGCGUAUUAAAGGUGGGACAAGAGAUAGAAGUGAGACCUGGUAUUGUUUCUAAAGACGGAGAAGGGAAGCUUAUGUGUAAACCAAUCUUUUCCAAGAUUGUAUCCCUUUUUGCAGAACACAAUGAUCUUCAGUAUGCUGCUCCAGGUGGUCUUAUUGGUAAGGAGUUGGAACAAAAAUUGACCCAACGUUAUGCCGAGCAGAUAGAAUGGUUGGGCAGGUCCUUGGUGCUGUUGGAGCAUUACCUGAGAUAUUCACAGAGUUAGAAAUUUCCUACUUCCUACUGAGACGGCUCCUAGGUGUACGUACAGAAGGAGACAAGAAAGCAGCAAAA